AAUAUUCAGAGUUUGAUCCUGGCUCAGGAUGAACGCUAGCGGUUAGCUUAACACAUGCAAGUUGGAUGUUAUUUCUUAUUGAAUUAUAGCAUAGCGAACGGGUGAGUAACACGCGAAUAAUUUACCUAACAGUUCGGGAUAACAUAAACAAUAUUAGUUUAUUGUUUAUGAAUACCGGAUAAUAAAUAGUUUGUUUACUAUUAUCUAAAGAUUGUAUCGCUGUUAGAUAAGUUUGCGUAAGAUUAGGUAGUUGGUAGAGUAAAAGUUUACCAAGCCAAUGAUCUUUAGCUGGUCUGGAAGGAUGAUCAGCCACACUGGGACUGAGAUACGGCCCAGACUCUUUCGAGAGUCAGCAGUGAGGAAUAUUGGACAAUGGGCGAAAGCCUGAUCCAGCUAAACCGCGUGAGUGAUGAAGGCUUUUUGGUCGUAAAGCUCUUUUUCCGAGAAAGAUUAUGACGUUACUUGGAAAAAAAGUCCCGGCUAACUCCGUGCCAGCAGCCGCGGUGAGACGGGGGGGACUAGUGUUAUCCGGAUUUAUUUGGCGUAAAGGGUUUUUAGGUUGCCUACUAAGUUGUAAGGUAAAGCUUAAGGAUAUUUAUCUUAUAUAGCCAUACAAAACUAGUAGUGCUAGAGUAAAGGAGAGGGUAGUGGAAUUCUUGGUGUAGGAAUAAAAUCCGUAAAUAUCAAGAGGAAUAUCGAAAGCGAAGGCAGCUACCUGGCUUUUUACUGACGCUGAAAGACGAAAGCGUGGGGAGCAAACAGGAUUAGAUACCCUGGUAGUCCACGCCGUAAACGAUGAGUGCUAGAUGUAAGAAAGUAGUUUAUUUUCUUGUGUCUAAGCUAACGCAAUAAGCACUCCGCCUGGGGAGUACAAUCGCAAGAUUGAAACUCAAAGGAAUUGACGGGGGCCCGCACAAGCGGUGGAGCAUGUGGUUUAAUUCGACACACCGCGAGAAACCUUACCAGCCCUUGACAUUCUAGUUGUAGAUGUGGAAGUAGUUUUCCAUGUUAUGCUAGAACAGGUGUCUGCAUGGCUGUCGUCAGCUCGUGUCGUGAGAUGUUUGGUUAAGUCCUUUAACGAGCGCAACCCUUAUCCUUAAUUGCAAGUAAUUGUAGUUCAAUUAUGCACUUUAGGGAGACUGCCGGUGAUAAGCUGGAGGAAGGUGAGGAUGACGUCAAGUCUUCAUGGCCCUUAUGGGCUGGGCUACACACGUGCUACAAUGGAGAUUACAAAGAGAGGCAACGGCGCGAGUCUAAGCAAAUCUCAAAAAAUCUUCUCAGUCCGGACUGUACUCUGUAACUCGAGUGCAUGAAGUUGGAAUCGCUAGUAAUCGUAUAUCAGAACGGUACGGUGAAUACGUUCCCGGGCCUUGUACACACCGCCCGUCACACCAUGAGAGUUUGCAUGUUUUGAAGAAGUGCCUUGCACUUUUUACCUUUUGAAUCUGAGGCUUUUUUAUAAAGUUUCUCAAAGUGGUAUUGGGGAUGAGGAAUUUCGAUAAAUUUGCCAGCGAUUAGGGUGAAGUCGUAACAAGGUAGCCGUAGGGGAACCUGUGGCUGGAUAACCUCCUUU
rnacentral:rRNA from 1 species